rnacentral:rRNA from 1 species
GAUCAUGGCUCAGAGUGAACGCUGGCGGCGUGCUUAACACAUGCAAGUCGAGCGGCAGCGCGGGGCAACCUGGCGGCGAGCGGCGAACGGGUGAGUAACACAUCGGAACGUGCCCAGACGUGGGGGAUAGCCCGGCGAAAGCCGGAUUAAUACCGCAUACGAUCUAAGGAUGAAAGCGGGGGACUCGCAAGGGCCUCGCGCGUUUGGAGCGGCCGAUGGCAGAUUAGGUAGUUGGUGGGGUAAAGGCUUACCAAGCCUGCGAUCUGUAGCUGGUCUGAGAGGAUGAUCAGCCACACUGGGACUGAGACACGGCCCAGACUCCUACGGGAGGCAGCAGUGGGGAAUUUUGGACAAUGGGCGCAAGCCUGAUCCAGCCAUUCCGCGUGCAGGACGAAGGCCUUCGGGUUGUAAACUGCUUUUGUACGGAACGAAAAGGUCUUCUCUAAUACAGAGGGCCCAUGACGGUACCGUAAGAAUAAGCACCGGCUAACUACGUG